rnacentral:rRNA from 1 species
AGUGAACGCUGGCGGUAGGCCUAACACAUGCAAGUCGAACGGCAGCACAGUAAGAGCUUGCUCUUACGGGUGGCGAGUGGCGGACGGGUGAGGAAUACAUCGGAAUCUACUUUUUCGUGGGGGAUAACGUAGGGAAACUUACGCUAAUACCGCAUACGACCUACGGGUGAAAGCAGGGGAUCUUCGGACCUUGCGCGAUUGAAUGAGCCGAUGUCGGAGUAGCUAGUUGGCGGGGUAAAGGCCCACCAAGGCGACGAUCCGUAGCUGGUCUGAGAGGAUGAUCAGCCACACGGGAACUGAGACACGGUCCAGACUCCUACGGGAGGCAGCAGUGGGGAAUAUUGGACAAUGGGCGCAAGCCUGAUCCAGCCAUACCGCGUGGGUGAAGAAGGCCUUCGGGUUGUGAAGCCCUUUUGUUGGGAAAGAAAAGCAGCAGGUUAAUACCCCGCUGUUCUGACGGUACCCAAAGAAUAAGCACCGGCUAACUUCGUG